rnacentral:misc_RNA from 1 species
AAUUAAGAAAAACUUAAUAAGAAAUGUUAUAGUGAACCAAAUCAACAUUAAUACCUGUAAACUGUUGAACAAUGAUUUGAUGGUGCACUAUACUAUAGACUAGUUAUCUUCCUUCAUUAGUCAUCAAUUGUGAAAAUACCUUGCUUGUCGAUACAUUUGAAGCCCCAUCACCAUUAUACACCUCAUUGUGGAGACCCUCUGGCACUGGCACUGGAAGCUCAUUGGAAAUCUCAGCUACUUCUCCAUGUGUUCCAGAUUCUUGAAGCUGGAAUGCAUAUUCCAAGUUCCACAGUACGUCACCCAUUGUUGGCCUAUCAAUUCCAUAAUCAGCCAAACAUUUCUCGGCAGUCUCCCCGAACUUCCUCAAACAGUUUAGCUUUAUCUGGCCUCUGAUAUGGGGAUCAACAAUCUUGUCUAGUUGUCCGUCCUUCUGCCACUGCAUAGCCCAUUCAGCCAAAUUAACUUGCUCUCGUGUAAGCAGUGGAUCAAUUGCAGGUCUAGCACAUAAGACUUCAAAUAGAACAACUCCGAAGGAGUAAACAUCUGACUUAUCAGUAAGCUGCUGCCUCCGAAAAUAUUCCGGAUCAAGGUACCCAAAACUUCCUUUUACACCAG